rnacentral:rRNA from 1 species
GACAUGGGGCUCGAGCGUUAAUCGGAAUCAUUGGGCUUAAAGGGUGCGUAGGCGGGUUGCUAAGUGUUCUGUGAAAUCCCCCGGCUCAACCGGGGAAUCGCAGGGCAUACUGGCAGCCUUGAGGCAUGUAGGGGCGGACGGAACUGUAGGUGGAGCGGUGAAAUGCGUAGAUAUCUACAGGAACGCCGAUGGUGAAGACGGUCCGCUGGGCAUGUCCUGACGCUGAGGCACGAAAGCGUGGGGAGCAAACAGG